CGCUCCACAACUCCGCGCCCGGAGCAGGCGGAGCUGUAGUUAAAAAUCGCGGAGCCUUGGUCCGAGUCUCUGUUUCUCAGGCUGUGCUCCUCCUGUCUACUAUCAAGGCAGUGGUGACGCACCUUCACCAGAGAUGGGUUAGAUUGAUUCAUCUGCUGCUGCUUUUGUUUGUUGGUCUUGAUAGAGAACUUCAUCAUGGUUACUUCAUGGUAUGUCUGGCGCAGAAAUUUUGAUGAUGGCAGAGAGGAGAUAUUCCACAUUCUUGAGGCCUUGAGAUAUUAUAGGGUUAUCUAUUAUCAUGGUUGGGGCGGACUUGGGGCGUCUGAUAUGCUUAGAUCCAUAGCGGAAGUGCUCCCAUAUAGAACAACCACUCCGGAACUAUGCUUUGAUAAAAUAAUUCAUAUAGA